rnacentral:misc_RNA from 1 species
CGCACAUUGCGCCCGCCAGUAUUCUGGCGGGCAUGCCUGUUCGAGCGUCAUCUCAACCCUCAAGCCUCGCGGCUUGGUGUUGGGGAUCGGCCGCGCACCCCGUGCCGCGGCCGCCCCCUAAAUUCAGUGGUGGCCUCGCUGUAGCGUCCCCUGCGUAGUAGCUUAAAACUCGCUCUGGAUCGCGGCGACGGCCACGCCGUAAAACCCCCCAUUCAUGAACGUUGACCUCGGAUCAGGUAGGAAUACCCGCUGAACUUAA